rnacentral:rRNA from 1 species
GGUUCUCUCAGAAUGGAUGGAAACCAUUCGAAGAGUGUAAAGGCAGAAGAGAGCUUGACUGCGACACGGACGUGUGGAGCAGGUACGAAAGUAGGACUUAGUGAUCCGGUGGUAUAAAGUGGGAUAGCCAUCGCUCAACGGAUAAAAGCUACCCUGGGGAUAACAGGCUAAUCACUCCCAAGAGUUCACAUCGACGGAGUGGUUUGGCACCUCGAUGUCGGCUCAUCGCAUCCUGGGGCUGAAGUAGGUCCCAAGGGUUGGGCUGUUCGCCCAUUAAAGCGGUACGCGAGCUGGGUUCAGAACGUCGUGAGACAGUUCGGUCCCUAUCCGGCGCAGGGGAAGGAUAAUUGAGAGGAGCUGACCUUAGUACGAGAGGACCGGGUUGGACGAACCGCUGGUGGACCGGUUGUACUAUCAAGUGCAUAGCCGGGUAGCCAAGUUAGGAAGGGAUAAACGCUGAAGGCAUCUAAGCGUGAAGCCCCCCUCAAGAGAAGAUAUCCCAUAGCAAAAGCUAGUAAGACCCCUUGAAGACGACGAGGUGGAUAGGUUAGAGGUGGAAGUGCAGAGAUGUAUGGAGCUGACUAAUACUAAUAGGUCGAGGGC